GAUGAACGCUGGCGGCGUGCCUAAUACAUGCAAGUCGAGCGAACAGACGAGGCGCUUGCUCCUCUGACGUUAGCGGCGGACGGGUGAGUAACACGUGGAUCACCUACCUAUAAGACUGGGAUAACUUCGGGAAACCGGCGCUAAUACCGUAUAAUAUCUUGCACCGCAUGGUUCAAUAGUGAAAGACGGUUUUGCUGUCACUUAUAGAUGGAUCUGAGCUGCAUUAGCUAGUUGGUAAGGUAAAGGCUUACCAAGGCAACGAUGCGUAGCCGACCUGAGAGGGUGAUCGGCCACACUGGAACUGAGACACGGUCCAGACUCCUACGGGAGGCAGCAGUAGGGAAUCUUCCGCAAUGGGCGAAAGCCUUACGGAGCAACGCCGCGUGAGUGAUGAAGGUCUUCGGAUCGUAAAACUCUGUUAUUAGGGAAGAACAAAUGUGUAAGUAACUAUGCACGUCUUGACGGUACCUAAUCAGAAAGCCACGGCUAACUACGUG
rnacentral:rRNA from 1 species